rnacentral:rRNA from 1 species
GGACGAACGCUGGCGGCGUGCUUAACCCAUGCAAGUCGAACGGAAAGGCCCUUCGGGGUACUCGAGUGGCGAACGGGUGAGUAACACGUGGGUGAUCUGCCCUGCACUUUGGGAUAAGCCUGGGAAACUGGGUCUAAUACCGAAUAGGACCACGCGCUUCAUGGUGUGUGGUGGAAAGCUUUUGCGGUGUGGGAUGGGCCCGCGGCCUAUCAGCUUGUUGGUGGGGUAAUGGCCUACCAAGGCGACGACGGGUAGCCGGCCUGAGAGGGUGACCGGCCACACUGGGACUGAGAUACGGCCCAGACUCCUACGGGAGGCAGCAGUGGGGAAUAUUGCACAAUGGGCGCAAGCCUGAUGCAGCGACGCCGCGUGAGGGAUGACGGCCUUCGGGUUGUAAACCUCUUUCAAUAGGGACGAAGCGCAAGUGACGGUACCUAUAGAAGAAGCACCGGCCAACUACGUG